rnacentral:tRNA from 1 species
AGUAGCUUGGCCUAGUGGAAAGCACAUGGGCUUGUGAGUCAGAGGAUCUGGGUUCCAAUCCCAGCUCUACCA